rnacentral:rRNA from 1 species
CCGGCGAUGUCCGAAUGGGGAAACCCAGUGCAAUUCGUUGCACUAUCGUUAACUGAAUACAUAGGUUAACGAGGCGAACCGGGGGAACUGAAACAUCUAAGUACCCCGAGGAAAAGAAAUCAACCGAGAUUCCCCCAGUAGCGGCGAGCGAACGGGGAGCAGCCCAGAGUCUGAAUCAGCUUGUGUGUUAGUGGAACGGUCUGGAAAGUCCGACGGUACAGGGUGAUAGUCCCGUACACCAAAAUGCACAGGCUGUGAACUCGAAGAGUAGGGCGGGACACGUGGUAUCCUGUCUGAAUAUGGGGGGACCAUCCUCCAAGGCUAAAUACUCCUGACUGACCGAUAGUGAACCAGUACCGUGAGGGAAAGGCGAAAAGAACCCCGGCGAGGGGAGUGAAAAAGAACCUGAAACCGUGUACGUACAAGCAGUGGGAGCACCUUCGGGUGUGACUGCGUACCUUUUGUAUAAUGGGUCAGCGACUUAUAUUCUGUAGCAAGGUUAACCGUAUAGGGGAGCCGCAGGGAAACCGAGUCUUAACUGGGCGUUAAGUUGCAGGGUAUAGACCCGAAACCCGGUGAUCUAGCCAUGGGCAGGUUGAAGGUUGGGUAACACUAACUGGAGGACCGAACCGACUAAUGUUGAAAAAUUAGCGGAUGACUUGUGGCUGGGGGUGAAAGGCCAAUCAAACCGGGAGAUAGCUGGUUCUCCCCGAAAGCUAUUUAGGUAGCGCCUCGUGAAUUCAUCUUCGGGGGUAGAGCACUGUUUCGGCUAGGGGGUCAUCCCGACUUACCAACCCGAUGCAAACUACGAAUACCGAAGAAUGUUAUCACGGGAGACACACGGCGGGUGCUAACGUCCGUCGUGAAGAGGGAAACAACCCAGACCGCCAGCUAAGGUCCCAAAGUCAUGGUUAAGUGGGAAACGAUGUGGGAAGGCACAGACAGCCAGGAUGUUGGCUUAGAAGCAGCCAUCAUUUAAAGAAAGCGUAAUAGCUCACUGGUCGAGUCGGCCUGCGCGGAAGAUGUAACGGGGCUAAACCAUGCACCGAAGCUGCGGCAGCGACACUAUGUGUUGUUGGGUAGGGGAGCGUUCUGUAAGCCUGCGAAGGUGUGCUGUGAGGCAUGCUGGAGGUAUCAGAAGUGCGAAUGCUGACAUAAGUAACGAUAAAGCGGGUGAAAAGCCCGCUCGCCGGAAGACCAAGGGUUCCUGUCCAACGUUAAUCGGGGCAGGGUGAGUCGACCCCUAAGGCGAGGCCGAAAGGCGUAGUCGAUGGGAAACAGGUUAAUAUUCCUGUACUUGGUGUUACUGCGAAGGGGGGACGGAGAAGGCUAUGUUAGCCGGGCGACGGUUGUCCCGGUUUAAGCAUGUAGGCUGGUUAUCCAGGCAAAUCCGGAUAAUCAAGGCUGAGGUGUGAUGACGAGGCACUACGGUGCUGAAGUAACAAAUGCCCUGCUUCCAGGAAAAGCCUCUAAGCAUCAGGUAACAUCAAAUCGUACCCCAAACCGACACAGGUGGUCAGGUAGAGAAUACCAAGGCGCUUGAGAGAACUCGGGUGAAGGAACUAGGCAAAAUGGUGCCGUAACUUCGGGAGAAGGCACGCUGGUGUGUAGGUGAAGUCCCUGCGGAUGGAGCUGAGACCAGUCGAAGAUACCAGCUGGCUGCAACUGUUUAUUAAAAACACAGCACUGUGCAAACACGAAAGUGGACGUAUACGGUGUGACGCCUGCCCGGUGCCGGAAGGUUAAUUGAUGGGGUUAUCCGUAAGGAGAAGCUCUUGAUCGAAGCCCCGGUAAACGGCGGCCGUAACUAUAACGGUCCUAAGGUAGCGAAAUUCCUUGUCGGGUAAGUUCCGACCUGCACGAAUGGCGUAAUGAUGGCCAGGCUGUCUCCACCCGAGACUCAGUGAAAUUGAACUCGCUGUGAAGAUGCAGUGUACCCGCGGCAAGACGGAAAGACCCCGUGAACCUUUACUAUAGCUUGACACUGAACAUUGAGCCUUGAUGUGUAGGAUAGGUGGGAGGCUUUGAAGCGUGGACGCCAGUCUGCGUGGAGCCAACCUUGAAAUACCACCCUUUAAUGUUUGAUGUUCUAACGUUGGCCCCUUACCGGGGUUGCGGACAGUGUCUGGUGGGUAGUUUGACUGGGGCGGUCUCCUCCCAAAGCGUAACGGAGGAGCACGAAGGUUAGCUAAUCCUGGUCGGACAUCAGGAGGUUAGUGCAAUGGCAUAAGCUAGCUUGACUGCGAGCGUGACGGCGCGAGCAGGUGCGAAAGCAGGUCAUAGUGAUCCGGUGGUUCUGAAUGGAAGGGCCAUCGCUCAACGGAUAAAAGGUACUCCGGGGAUAACAGGCUGAUACCGCCCAAGAGUUCAUAUCGACGGCGGUGUUUGGCACCUCGAUGUCGGCUCAUCACAUCCUGGGGCUGAAGUAGGUCCCAAGGGUAUGGCUGUUCGCCAUUUAAAGUGGUACGCGAGCUGGGUUUAGAACGUCGUGAGACAGUUCGGUCCCUAUCUGCCGUGGGCGCUGGAGAAUUGAGGGGGGCUGCUCCUAGUACGAGAGGACCGGAGUGGACGCAUCACUGGUGUUCGGGUUGUCAUGCCAAUGGCACUGCCCGGUAGCUAAAUGCGGAAGAGAUAAGUGCUGAAAGCAUCUAAGCACGAAACUUGCCCCGAGAUGAGUUCUCCCUGAGACUUUAAGUCUCCUGAAGGAACGUU